GAAUCUUUAUCGCAUUUCAGAAACAGUAGCACAGAACAUUAUUUUGAAAAGAAAAAAAGUAGGAAAAAAUGCAUAGCUGCAGUUGGUGAGAGUUGGGGACAUGUUAAUGGCUAAGUGCAACACGACUGUGCAAGGACAGAAGUUGCAGGGACAAUGGUGUAUUGCUGAAGGUUUGCUUAGACAUCGCAGAAAUGAGGAUAAUCAGUGAGAUGGACCUUUGGUCUCACUUCUCAAUGAAAGUUAGGAACUGUUCAGCAGUGUACUACAUUCAACAGUAUAGCAGAUGCUUUUAAACUGGAAGAAGAAAUGACACUAUGAAAGCUGAAGCACAAUACAGGUCAUGUAUUCUGGUGACUUAGGCUUGCUUUUCUUUAUUUCUUUGCAUGCCAGACACCAUGAACUGUACACGAUUUUAAGUUUGGGGUAACAGUGAACUUAACUGUUCUGUAAUCCAGUCAUGACAUUAUCACUCUGUGGUUUGCUGAUUUGCCACUAUUUCUGUUGUUCCAGCCACUAUCAUCAUUUCAAGAAUGUAUGGUUUAGCACAUAUGCUUUGAAGUCAUUAGUAGGUCUGAAAAUACAUACUUGAAUAAGCCAGCGCUGUGUUGCACAAGUAUGAACUUCCUGUCAUCUGAACUGUGGUGUGGCCCCAGAAUGUUCAGUUUAACAAUGUUUCACUGUAAACCGAACAUACGCUGUACAUUUAUCUGUAUUAAAUUAAAAACAAAAACAAAAAAAAGACACAUUUGUAAGCAUUCACAAACAAGUAACAGAUCUGAUUGAAUAUAUCUGAAAAGAUGUGGGAUGAUCAACCUCAAAAGCAGAUAUCUGACAGUAUUUCUGAAGAAAGAAAGAGAAAAAAUGAGUAGAGAGUAAAAGAAAGUAUUUAAUACUCCCCCCAAAUGUAUGGCAAGGAAAAAAUCCAUCUGUCAAAUUAAUAGGCAUGUGCUGGUUAAAGAAACUAAUUCCUCCCUGUGUCAAUACAUCUACCGUAGUUUCCCAUUAAACAUUUCUGUAAUUUCUUUCUUUCUUCACUAGAUGCAACAUACUUGACUGAAAAGUAGUUGCAAUAAUGUGAAGUUUUCUGGAAAGCCAUGAAUACCUCAUGUGAGUGGGAAUGCGUUCAGUUGCCUGUUGCUCCACAGCCAUUAAUCUGACGAAUAAAGAGUUUGCACAUGGGUUCACUCAGAGAGUUAACAUCUGAUUUUACAUGGAAAUAUUUGAAAGAAAAAGUACAGCAUUGCCUGAAGCCUGUUAGAAAGACUUUGGAGAUUUAUUUAAUGCAGUUUCUUGCUUUCAUUCCUGUUGUCUACUAAGAAACGUAUGCUGUUUUGAAAUAUAGAAUGAAAUAAGGGGAAACAAGUCAAACAAUGUUUCUAGCAGAGGAAAAAAAUGUCCCUUGCCUCAAACACAUAUAAAACCUGUUUUCAGUGCUCACCUUUUGCUCUACCACUUCAUUGCCAUCAACAUUAAACCAGAUGAUUUCUAACCUCUAUAUUGGUUCAUUUAAGACAAAACAAAGGGAUGGGAAUUACCAUCAUUUAUCAGUAUGAAACAGCAUCUUUUUUACUAGGAUAAUUAGAUCAAAUAACUCAGUUUAAAAUGAAAAAAAAUAUGAAUAUUUAGUAAUUGUAUUUUAUCUGUGGGGAUUAAUGCUUGAUGCAGGAGCUACCAGUAAGUUGAUUAUCUUAAGUUACAAGGUGAUACUGAGUAUCAGCCUGAACAAGGAUUGAGAAUGAUUUUGGUUUCCCAGUGGGUUCAGGAAGUCUUCAGACAUAAACUGCAUCCCUCUUUGCUGCUUCUCUUACUGCUUUUGAAUUUAUUAGUUAUUGGAUGUUGUUGGAAUAGGAGAGAAGGAGAAAUAGGUGGGACAUCUGCACUGACUGUCUGAAUAUGUUGGAUGAUCUAUUAGGAGUGAGGUUGUAGGUACACAGCUUCUGGCAGUUACUCCACCUUUUUCUUAUUGCAGCCUACUGGAUGUGGAUGAUUAGAGUAAUACUUGAUUGGGAUUGUCCUUGCUUCUUCCUGUACUGUUUUUAAGGACAUUAAAGAGACUUUUGAUUUCAUAUAAACUCUCAUGAAACCAGAAGUUGCAUUGUUUGGACAAAGUAUAUUAUAUGUUGGGUUCAUGAUGUCUACUUGGUUUGAAGAACAAAAUUAGAUGUGCCACUUUCAAAUACUUAUGUGUUCAGCAAAUUGCUCCUUAGGAUGCUAUCUCCCUCAAAUAUUUUACAAUUAAUUUUAGAAUCUUUUCUGACUUCAAUUAGUAAACUGUCUCAAGCUUGUUUUGAUAGAGAAAAGCUGCAUGCAGUCAUUUGUUCUGUGUCUUGUGUCUUUGGUCUGAGAUCCAAUGCUUGCUUUCUUCUGGGUGAAUUCAGCUCCUUAAUUGUUGUACGUACAAAGUUUUGUGCAUGUGUUCUUUGUUGCUGGUUUAGUGGUGGGUUUCCUGAGUGAAAUUUGCUGACUUUUACAGAUUUUCUAAUUACAGGUGGUUGACAACUAUAUUUAAAUGGCAGCUGGGUGUCUUUAGAAGAUAAACGUGCAAUGUUCACAUUCUGAACCACGCUCAGCUGCUUACGUGGCAUUGCCUACAGAGACCAGCUGUCCCACAUGCCUGCAAAUCAAGUCAGGACUCUUUAGAUGAUGGUUCAUGGCCCAAUAAGGAGAGCCAAAGCAAGAUAGUGGGAAAGUUUUCUUCUUUGGUUUUAGCUGCUCCUACAGACAGCAAAUACUGACUCAGCACAAAAGCCUCAGCUGCAUCAGAAGCCACUUAGAAUGUUUGGCUGUGACUUGUCAGCUAAGCAGCUUCCAUAAGAAGGCUUCCUUUUUUUGCCAAACUUCAUGUAUUGGAACAAAGCUUGUUUCAGGGCAGGCUUUGUCUUCGUUUAGCUUGGUUAUUAACUUAGGGAGAUUAAAAAAAGAUACAGACACCGGCUCUUCCAAAUGGGAGCUUUGUUGGCCUGCUGAAGGGUGAAAAAUAAAGCCACAGUGAAAAAGAAUGGAGAAUAAAAUAAAACUGUGAAACAAAACAGUGGUGGGGGAAAGAUCUUUAGCACUGAGCUGCAGUCACAUGCUAUACUGUAAUCUUUUAUAAGAUAAUGUUUCCAGAAGCCGUCUUUUCCAAAUGGGUUACUGUUGCAUUGAGAUGAGAUUACUCUUAUUUAGUUUCUUUCCCUCGUAUCUGAGGGAGAUACAGUAGGAAGGUAUAUUCAGAGUGUGGUUUUCUAAAGGGAUGUUGACACCCAUCAGCUGCUUGUGAAAGCUCUCAUUUGCACUUCCUUGAUUUAUAAAAGAAAGCAUUCUGUUCACAGAUUGCAUCCUGUUCUGUUAUUAAAUUGAACUGAUUUAAACCUGACCUUGCAGAAUUUGAAUGCUCCUGAAUGGCUACAAAUCAUGUACUUAAAGAGCAUUUUGAGGCUUAGAAGCUGCAGCUAUGCGAUUCAGUCUGUGAGCCUCCAGGUACCCAAGGAGAUGCUGCCCAGUUAAAUCAGAUUUCGUUACAGCUGUGAUCCAAGCCAUGAAGUGAAAACUCAAAGGAUAUAAAGAUUUGUGAUCGUUUGAUAGCUUUUGAAUCACCUGCAGUUCAGAUGCAUUUGAGUGUGGCUCAAGAAACUGUCUUGUGACUACAGAAGGCACCACAUGGGCUUGCAGUUUCCUUGGACUGCAGAAUCCUAAAGGGAGUGAAAUGACCCUAUUCAAUUCCCCAGUGCAGGUACACAGGAUUAAAGGAAACACCUGAUUUGCACAUCUGUUUCUUUUCAAAUGGAAAUGAAGUGGAGGAUAGUAAGCUUUUGAAUGCAGUGGUGCUGUUUGCUUGUUUGUUUCAAAACUCAGGCAAAAAAAAAAUGGGAAUAAUAAGACAUCCAGCAUCCAACUCUGUGUCGCAUUCAAGGAGAAGGAGUUUAGAUUCCUCUCCAAAAUGUAUGCUUUUCUGAGAAAGUCAGAAGAGUUAAUGAAAAAAGUCCCAAUUCUGAAGACUGAGAAACUCUGUGCAAAAUGAUCGUGCCGGUAUGUUUCAGCUGGCAAACAGCAGGUUGCCUGUAACCUCCAGGCUGUGUGUACACCGUGUCAGUCACUGCACAGAGCUGCAAUUUCACCUGAUCACACCGAUGCAGGUGAGAUGUUCACAACUGCCCUCUCCUCUAGUGUUAUUUCUGUGAAGACUCCACAUACCCUACACUGUUGUCACUGUUCUGCUUGCAGUAUCUAAUUUUUUUUGAAUGCUAAAUUGCACUACCAAAUUAGUUACUGAUCAAUGAAAGCUGAGAGAUUGGAUGUGAAAAAUUGGGGAAACUACUAUUUCAUGAGGUGUCUUGCUGAUUUUAAUCAUCUUCAAAAUUCACCCUUUAACCAGUGUGAUCCAAAUCAGUCUACCUUGUCACCAUUAGAGUACGAAACAUCUGUCUGAAGAAGGUCUUGACAUGUAAAGUGUUGUGCUGGACCUUCUCUCCACUCUGUAAAUCAUCCAGAACUGCUGCCGUGCAAAUGCAUUUAUAAUUCUCAUGAGCAAGGGCCAGUCAUAGACUUUGUCUUUUCUUUCAUGACCUGUUGGCUGAAAGUGCUCACACACCAGAUUCAAUUAAAGCUGCUCACAUCUUUUCUAGAUAUUUACUAGCAGAAUUGUAUUUGUCCCGAUGACUUUUGUCCUUUGUAAAGCAAAACACUGAGAAACUGGUUGAGAUAGGAGAAACAUGGAGCUUUAAAACAUUACAGUAGAGAGGGAAAAAAGUCAAGAUUUACAGCAUUCCGUCAGAAUUAAAACUGUUGCAUGUUUGGGCUUGAUAUUUUUACUUUGAAUUUAUAUUGAUACUGGAAGCAAAAUUUUAACAUUCACAUGUGUUCAUUUUCCAGUGAAAGGUAUUACAGAAAGAAGUUAAUUGUAAUAUACCUUUUCUGCAUAAAGAUAUGUACAGAAAACAGAACAAAAUAUGAGUUUGUUAUGAGUGAAAUCAUGAGACAUUUUUUACCCGUGACAGACAGAGAUUCCAUGUAAAAUGUGAAAAGUUUCAACCUCACUUAUCAGCAGCUUUUAGCAAUACAUAUUGUGUCAGUUUUGUGUUCGGUUCUUGGUUGAUUGGAGUAUGUUAGCCUGCAUAACUUGCCUAAAUGACAGCUGUAUGUGACAGAAUAGAAGUGAGCUAACAUUUGGCUUGUGUGAGCAUCAGUGAUGAUCUUUGUUUAUACUGCUAUAAAGCGAUGAGAAUGAGGGAAAGUAAUUAGGAAAGAUAAUAAACUUGAUAAUGGUGAGAUAUGUAAAGCUGUAGAUUAAUUUCACGUAUGAAGUGAGAGAAUCCCCAUUACUGAAGAAUUUUAAAAAUGAUUCCCCGGAAUAAAGAUCUGGAGGAGCUGCUCCCUCUAUGAAUUAUCUAGGAAAUUAGGGAGACUGCAGUGCCCUGUUGGAACCUGAGUGAGAUGUGAUACGUUAACUACUGUAAGUUCACACCCAAGUUUACUGAGGAGCGAUUUUCUUGGCAAUGCGUCAAAUUUUCCUUGUUGUGGUCCACCUAAGUAGAUGAUUUAUUAUGGUAAGUAUUUUUGAUGAUUGUUAAUUUUUAACUUGUAAUAACUUGAUUUUUUUUAAAGUACAAAUAUUUUGCUUUGUAGUAUAAUCUUAUGAUUGUACUUCUUUUAUAAGUUAUUUUCUAAUAGUGGUGUAGGUUUUUAAAAAUUACAUUAUGUGCUAUUGAGCACUUUUAUUGUUGUUGAGUAGACUGAUUGAUAAUUAUUUGGCAUUUUCUGUACUUGUACAUUUGUAUGUUUAAGAAGGUCUGACAAUGUCUACAUUAAACGUUGCAUCUUCAUUUUGACAAUGGUAGUACGUUUAAUAAGGUCCCAUGAUAAAUCCAAUGAAGUUGUACAGAAGUGUACUAAGCUGCCAUUUUACACUUGAGAAAGCUUAGCUAUAAAAUACAAUGUGACUUGCCUGAAGCCACACAGCAAGUCUUCGAGAAAGCCAGGGCGAGUUUGGAUUUAUACUUUCUAUCUUUUCUUUUCAAUAAAAGAGAUAUUUCUUCUUCCAAAUAAGGGAAAGCAUUUAGGGAGAAAUUAUCAUGGCUGUAUACUCCAGAAAAGAAAGAGAUGAGGCAGUAGUGCACAUUAGCAUGUAUGUUUGCAUUUGCAAG